GACGAACGCUGGCGGCGUGCCUAAUACAUGCAAGUAGAACGCAGUUGCGAACGGGUGAGUAACGCGUAGGUAACUGCCUCAUAGCGGGGGAUUACUAUUGGAAACGAUAGCUAAUACCGCAAACUGUGAGAUGGAUCUGCGUUGUAUUAGCUAGUUGGUGAGGUAAAGGCUCACCAGGGCGACGUUACAUAGCCGACCUGAGAGGGGUGUCGGCCACAAUGGGACUGGGAAACGGCCCCGGAUCCCUCGGGAGGCAGCAGGAGGGAAACAUCGGAAAUGGAGGGAAGGCUGACCGAGCAACGCCGGGGGAGUGGAGAAGGGUUUCGGAGCGUAAAGCUCUGUUGUGAGAGGAGCGGUAACUGACCAGAAAGGGCCGGCUAACUACGUGCCAGCAGCCGCGGUAAUUC
rnacentral:rRNA from 1 species